AUACUAUUUUCCUAAACUAAACUAAAGGGAAAUGUUUCUCCUUUGACCAUCAAUCACAAACUAAAGUCUUAAGUUUUGGUGUCUAAAUAAGCAACUGUAAAUAGAUACAAGUCUUCAAAUGAAAGCCUAGAAAAAUUUAAUAUUUAUUCAUCACUUUAAAAUACAUAUACAAAGACAAAUAACAUUAGAAACAAAUGUAUUUACAUAGGUAAGUUUGAGGACUAUUUUUCUUUGUAAGUGAAGAUUAUAUCUAAGGUUGCAAGAAUUUCAUGAGCGAAUGUACAUAAAGUACUUGCCCCAGGGCCUGGCACCUAGAACCACUCAAAUGAGAAUGAUCACCUAUUAUGAUAUCAUCACUGCAGUGAGGCCAAUCCCAUUAUGCUAUAUCAUCGUUAUAAACACUGUGAGGUUUUGUUUUUGCUUUUCACUUAAGACUGGUACAGUCUAAUUAUUUGUCUAAAAAGACACGUCAUACCAUUAAUCUAUUUAAGUUUUGGAAACGGUAGUUGAAGUUUAUCAAACAAAAGGCCUCUCCCUCAAUAGUCCCAGUACUGAAAAUGAGUCAAGAAACGUGGAAGCUAAGGACUGAAAGAGCGCUCUUUUAAGCCAUUACGCCUUCUAUUGCUAAGGGAUUCCCCGUCUGCUCAGCCUCACCUCUGCCAAACCAUCGUGCCCAUCCCAUCCCCUUCUGGAUUAAGAGGGAUCCCAGAAAGUGCCAGAGGAAGCCAGCUCUACUUGACAGCUCAUUAACCAGGCUCAUCUUGCUGUCUCUUUCCAAAGAGUGUGAAAUAAUUUGCCAUUUUUUCAGGCUAAUUAUUAUUCCCUCUUAGGACUGUUUGUACUACAAACUCCACACUUCUCUCUACUUUCCCUGCUUAAUCUCAAUUCUAUAUGAGGCUUUUUUUUUUUUUCCUCAGAUAAAAGUUUGAAAAUACUGCAAUGGCUUCAUCAUAUGCAUCACUUUGGUUCACAAGGAUCCUGUAAAUACUGCUCUUACCUCAUUUUAAUUUUUAGAGCCCCACCCCCACCCCUUGAGGGUCUAUCACAAAGUUUGGUAAAGAUUAAGUAAUGCGUAGUGAUUUACCAAUAACAUUUACGGAAAGAAUGUGGCUAUGCUACCUGAGUUUCUGAAUGUCUUAAAUUUGAUGUUCUUCUGUACUCAGUUCUAGGCUUCCUUAUCUUUCCCAUUGUAUCAGCUGUCUUACCCUUCUACUUGUUUCAGUUAUGAUUGAUGUGCUGAUGACUUCGACUAUCUAUUUCCAGUCUAGUCCUUUAUCUAGAGCACAAAGUACUCGUCUCCUAUCAUCUAGCUGCUCUUGGAUAGCCCACAGAUCCUUCAACUCCAUCAUCUUCCUUCCAAACCUGAUUUUCUCCAUUUCUUAUAUCUUCAAUGGAACCACUGAAAUCAUCCACCAGGACUACAAACUAGAGAGAAAUGUUGCCUCUGUUUUAAUCUAUACAUCUAGUCAGUUGAAUCCUACUGAUUUUACCUCUCAAAUAUUUUCUUCUUCUUUCUACCUGUGUGUAAGACCACUGCUUUCCUUAAUCUUGGCCACUACAAUCUCUAACCCAGAUUCUUUGAGGAACCUCAUAAGUGGCCUCAAUAACUCUAGUCCUGCCCUUCUUUCUCUACACUGGAGUCAGGAUGACCUUUCCAAACAAACAUCUAUGAUGUCUAAUAACAGAAAGGGAAAUACAAAAAAUGGGAUUAGUACCGAUUGAGGAGAAUGCUGAAGGGGUGUAUUAGAGUCUUUAAAGCUUGUCAGAUCAAUUGGGGGUCCAGAAGAAAAGGUAGCUGAGACUCACUGAGGGCUCUUCAAAGAACUGCUUGAAAAAUGACAAAGAUGAUAAGGAUGAUGAUGGUAAUGAAGAUGAAAUAAAAAGGGGAUGUGUAAGGUCUUACCUCAUGAAAGCAGACCAGUGAAGAGGUAGAUAAAUUGGGAAGUAGGGGGUUAGAUUCAUGGAAAUCAAUCCUUCUUUAGGACUUGCCCAAGUAUGGGAGGGGAGGCCAUAAUAAAUCUGUGUCCAAACAGAAGCAGCAUGUGGGCAGAUGUCCAUCCUCCAGGACUCCUGACCUCCUAGGUGAUGACUAGAACAGCAGAGGUGCAGGCUGUGUAGAGGAAUAGGUGAAGACAGCUUUCUUCUCCUGGAUGUCUGAUAGAUUUGGGGAAGGAGUAAUACCAAUGGGUGCUGAAAAAGUAGGAAUCAGGGCCAUAGCAAAGCAGACUGAGAUAUAAGGUAGGGCUCUACCUAGAGUGUAGGCGGGGACAUAGAGAAGAGAAUUAUGAUUUAAAAAUGAGUGCAAAACUGACUUGUGAAUAUAAGUAAAAAAGCUCUCUUUAGACACACUGGAUAUCAUUUGAUAAAGAAUGAAUGGGCCUGGUCUAAAGGUAAUGGACCACAGUGCCUAGAGCUGGAUAGAAAAGGGUGGAAUACAUACUGAUGGAGUAACAAAUAAAUCCACUCUUAGGUACAGGAAAUGCUUCUUGAAAGCCUACUUGCACAAAAGACACUCUGGUAUCUUAACAUGUGUCAAGCCCUGAGGUAAGUACUUUACAUAUAUCUUCUCAUUAAAAUUUUACUAAUUUCGUAGUUUGGAAAAUAUAGUUAUUUUUCAUAAAGAUAUAUUAUUUGUUUAUAAUGGACUUAUAAUUAUUAUUUGAAGUGAAUCAAUCAAUAAGUAUUUGGGGGGACCUGCUUAUAGCACAGAAAAUUCUACCUGAUAUCCUGUGAUAAUCUAUAUGGGAAAAGAAUCUGAAGAAGAAUGGAUAUGUAUAACUGAGUCACUUUCUUGUACAGUAGAAAUUAACACAACAUUGUAAAUCAACUAUACUUCAAUCAAACUGUAAAAAAUGAAAAAAAAAAGCAUCUUUCUCAUUGCAUAAGGUUUUUUGUUUUGUUUUUGGCUGUGCCAACAGCACACUGAAAUUCCCAGGCCAGGGAUCAACUCUUCACCACAGCAGUGACAAUGCCAGAUCCUUAACCUGCUGAGCCACCAGGGAACUCCUCAUUGCUUCAUUUUAAUGACUAAUACGAAUCGAAAUAGUAGCAAUAUUAGCAACAGAUAUAACCUACAGACACAAAAGCUCUUUAGAACUCUCAAUAACUUUUAGGAAUAUAGAGGGAUAUUGAGGCCCCAAAUUUAAGAAUCAGGGUCUUUAUCACAAGUUUAUCACGAUGGCUGACCAACAUAGCUGGCAAGGAGCAGUGGAGUAGCUCAAUGUGAACAAUGUGAACCAAUCUGAAAAAAAUGAAGACAGAAAUGAAGAUGAAAAAAUCAAGGCCCGUGCUCACAAUUCUGCAAAGUCAGUAGAAAAUGCCUGGUCCUCUCCUCCUGCUGUUACUACCUCUUCAACCCCCUCAAAUGAUGAAGCGCAUCCGUAGGGCACUAUUUCCAAGCACAGAGACCACAGAUGUAUAAACAACCUUCCACCUCUUUCAGGGAAGUCAGAGGAUGUGCCAGAGCUCUCAGCUCUGUUUACAUGGGGACAAGUCUCGCUCUCUCUUGCUGGUAAAAGAAUUUUGAUUUUGCCAGUGCUGCCUGGAAGGUGGGGGAGUGGAAAGUGCAUGUGAAAUAGUAUAACAAGGUUUCUUUGCCAGAGCUGCAGGACCAGGAGUGGAGUGGGAAAACGGGAAAAGGACAAGGAGGCAGCCAUCCAAGGGGGUGAUAUUGCAAAGGACAGGAGCAUAAAAUAGAUUCUCUCAACUCAGUGAUACUGCGGAGUGUUCUGUGUCACUAGAUUAUAACCAUCAGAGUAAAUUUUUAAAUGUGCCACUUACAGCAGUUACCAAAAUGAGUAAAGGCGAUCCCUUUCUCUAUUUACAUUGUGUUUAGAAGUACUAUUUCUUGGGGAAGUUUUCAGAAACCAUAGCAACUUCUCAAACCAAAUGACUACCUCAAUUUCAUAUAUUUAAACACUAGGUAUAAUUCAGUUCAAGUGAAUCUGCCAUACACUUCAGAAAAUAAUUCAAGUUUAUUGACGAUCAGGCCAGUGUAUAUUCUCUUUGGCAUCUUGUUUUUCAGCUCAUGCAUAUUAACAGGUAGGAGGUCAGUGUGAAUUUACUGAAACACAAGUCAAAACCUGGGAUGUUGAGUGUUGUAACUGUGUGAACCAACAGGCUCCCCAAAACUUGUACGGAAGGAAACUCACAACUCUAAGCACAUCUAGCAAUCCUGGGUAUGUUUUGAUGCGCCUACAUUCAAGCUUAUGCAAAUAUAUCCCCAGCUUAUAAAUAAUUGUGCUUCCCAUGCGAGUACAUGAACAGUAGGACUGCUUUAUUCAGAAUAAUGGUAGGUAACCCAUUGUAAUAAUGCAGAAACACAAGACACAAAAAAAUCCGAUGAGAUCGUUUAUCUGGUCAUCGCCUAUUUUGCACCCACCUCACUGUAAGGACAACCUUAGCAGCUUAUUCUCAAGUGGCUGUUAGUUUUCGCUAGACCUUAUUCUUCCAGAGUACUUCUGUUUUGUUUUCAACUAUUUUUCUUUUUGUUUUAACACUCCCCUUCCAUGCUUAUUUUCUGUAGGUCCUAGGUGCCAAUGCUGUUUUGGGUAUCCAGCGGUAAGUAGAAUAUUACAUUUUAGAAUCUGAAGAAACACUACUGUUACUGUUUUGUAGCAUGACUAAGAAUAAAGAAGCAGAUUUCCAGAUCAUUUAAUAUAUAUACUUUUAAAGGUAUUAGGUUCCCCAAGAUAAAGCAUUCUCAUUUUUAUUCAUAUUAAUUUCUGAAAUAGAGACAAAAAUAUCUCAAAAAACUUUCCAGGAAUGUUAUCUUUUACACUCUACUAAAAGCAUUCAUUGCCAGCUACAAAACUCACAACCUUAUUGUAUAAAAAUAGGUUCUGAAUGAAUGAAACGUAUGUAUCAAAGCAAUUAUGUAUUUUUUAGUCAUUUAGCUCACAUAUGCAUUUUAUCUUUCUUGCUUUAACUGAUGUGCCUAGAUAAAAAACAAUGAAAUGUGAAAAGAAACCACGGAGCUUGGAUUGGUUGACUGUUAUAAUACUGUUCAAAUGAUUCACUGACGAGUGGCCUUUACUUACCUUCUAUUUCUGUUUUGAUUCUCCCCUCCACUAAUAUUGGACAUUAGCAAGACUUUCUUCUGUAAAUUAUUCUGCAUGAAAACCUUCUUUAAGCUUUUUUUUUUUUUUUUUUUUUUUUUGCUUUUUAGGGCUGCACUCAAGGCAUAUGGAGUUUCCAGCCUAGGGGUCUAAUCGGAGCUACAGCAACGCAGGAUCUGACCAAGGCUGCACCUUACACCACAGUUCACGGCAAUGCCAGAUCUUAACCCACUGAGCAAGGCCAGGGAUUGAACCCGAAACCUCAUGGUUUCUAGUCGGAUUUUUCUUCUAUGCCACGACAGGGACUCCUCUUUACACUCAUGUUUUACCAGAUCAUGUCAAUUAAUCUUCCGAAGCUCUAAAGACACUGUUGUAUCUAUCUACUGGCAAAAAUCCUCUGCAAAUCAUCAAUGCUUUCCCUUUCCCUGGCUGAAUAACCAAGGCAGGAGAACAUGACUGCUUGCUACAUGGCAACACGUUUAUCUGUGAGCUUUUGGCUUCAGUGGAUUGGGAAAUUCUGCCAUGGGAAAAUGUUUCAAAGAAGUUGUUUUGCCCUCUGGAAGGGGCCCAGUUUUUGUUGUUUUCAAAACAUUAAAAUGUUUCCCAUCAGUCCUGUAAUCAAUUAUUGAGCACCUUCCAUAUUCUAUCUGGUUGUUGGCUGGACUCUAGGAAUACAAUAUGCACAAUAUAAGUAAAAUAGAGUCCUUGAUCUCAAGAUGCUCAUUGUCUGGUGAACAGAGACACAUUGAAGAUAAUUCAGUACAGGUUGUUCACAUCAAGCAUUUGGUCACACACACACUGAGACCCUUCGGUGCCAGGCACUGUGAUGAUCAUGACAGCAGAAGGGAACUUAGAGAGAAGGCCCUUGGCCCAAGAGGGCUUAGAGGUGACUUUCUGAAAGAAAUAAAAUUGAAUUGUUGUUAUUCAGAUGAAGACAAGGACUAAGGCAUUCUGGGUGAGUAAAGGGCAUAGUCCAAAGAAGAGUAGUGAAAUACCAUGGACAAUGCAGGAACUUAUGCCAUUUGUUCUUUCUAAAACAUUAAAUACUAGGUUUAGAGAAAUGACAGAUGACAUCUGAGUUCUGUGAAGGAGAAAGAGCAAAGUUAGAAAUGGUCUAGAAGCACCCAUCUUGGGAGUUCCCACUGUGGUGCAGCAGGUUAAGGAUCGCCACAGCUGUGGUAUAGGUCACAGCUGUGAUUUGGAUCUUGGAUUUGAUCCCUGGAGCAGGAACUUCCAUAUGCCAUGGGUGCG
rnacentral:lncRNA from 1 species